GAGACACCCUACGGGGCAGGACUUGCUUCAGUGUGGCUUUGGUGCUCACUGAGUCUGCCCCCUGAGUGUGUCCCU
rnacentral:pre_miRNA from 1 species